rnacentral:rRNA from 1 species
GUAACGGCGAGUGAAGCGGCAACAGCUCAAAUUUGAAACCUGGCGCUUGCGUCCGGAUUGUAAUUUGUAGAGGAUGCUUCUGGGCAGCGGCCGUUCUAAGUUCCUUGGAACAGGACGUCAUAGAGGGUGAGAAUCCCGUAUGUGACCGGCGCGCACCCUCCACGUAGCUCCUUCGACGAGUCGAGUUGUUUGGGAAUGCAGCUCUAAAUGGGAGGUAAAUUUCUUCUAAAGCUAAAUAUUGGCCAGAGACCGAUAGCGCACAAGUAGAGUGAUCGAAAGAUGAAAAGCACUUUGGAAAGAGAGUUAAAAAGCACGUGAAAUUGUUGAAAGGGAAGCGCUUCCAACCAGACUCCGCGGCGGUGUUCCGCCGGUCUUCUGACCGGUCCACUCGCCGCCGUGGGGCCAACAUCGUCUGGGGCCGCCGGAUAAGACCGGAGGAAUGUAGCUCAUUGAGUGUUAUAGCCUCCGGUGAUGCGGCGCGUCCCGGGCGAGGUCCGCGCUUCGGCAAGGAUGUUGGCGUAAUGGUUGGCAGCGGCCCGUCUUGAAACACGGACCAAGGAGUCUAACAUCUAUGCGAGUGUUCGGGUGUCAAACCCCUACGCGCAAUGAAAGUGAACGGAGGUGGGAGCUUCGGCGCACCAUCGACCGAUCCUGAUGUCCUCGGAUGGAUUUGAGUAAGAGCAUAGCUGUUGGGACCCGAAAGAUGGUGAACUAUGCCUGAAUAGGGUGAAGCCAGAGGAAACUCUGGUGGAGGCUCGCAGCGGUUCUGACGUGCAAAUCGAUCGUCAAAUUUGGGUAUAGGGGCGAAAGACUAAUC